rnacentral:rRNA from 1 species
AAAGGGUGCGUAGGUGGAUUUUUAAGUCAGGGGUGAAAUCCUGGAGCUCAACUCCAGAACUGCCUUUGAUACUGAAAGUCUUGAGUUCGGGAGAGGUAAGUGGAACUGCGAGUGUAGAGGUGAAAUUCGUAGAUAUUCGCAAGAACACCAGUGGCGAAGGCGGCUUACUGGCCCGAUACUGACACUGAGGCACGAAAGCGUGGGGAGCAAACAGGAUUAGAUACCCCUGU